GUACAAUGGCUUUUUUUUUUUUUUUUUGGAAUUCCACUAGUUCCAAGCGUUGCUUGUUAACCCUAUCUCGGGACAGAUUUCUAACGACGAAAUAUGUUUUACAAAUCAAGACUAAAGCAAGAACAAGUAUAAAGUCUUUAGGUGACGUUUUCUUGGCGCAUCCUUGAGGGACACGGGGCCAGAUGCCAGGAAUCUGCUCCGCUGUGUUCCUGCAGGAGUUUCUAACUUGACUAACUCGAUGAAACCUGGGUUUCUGUUACUGGGUAGCCCCCACCCCACCCUGUAAGCUUGGCAAACACACCCGAUGGAAGCCUCACUCUGCCCACGUGUGUCCUGGGGCAGGCGGGCCAUACCAGGAGCUACUGUCAUUUCUUGAUUCCAGCUCAUUCUACUCAGCCUUUGGAGAAGACAUCUUGAUUUUAUUCCAUCUCGGAGAAGUGAACUGUAGGCCUUCUUUUCUCUUCCUGAAUCUCUCACCAUCUUGCCGUGAGAAGGUAUCUGAUCUGAAUGUCAGCAUGGGAAGCACAGCCCUAAGUCAGAAAACAUUCAGGUACCCAGGCCGGCUGCCUGUUGCCCAUAGAUGGACUGUUCACACAGCUAUUAACGGCAGCAUUCCUGGGUCCAGGAGCCGGGCCAAUAAGCUUACUUGCUCAGGCUUUGUGACAAGAAAGUCUGAGUAGCCAGGAAGUGGGAUGUUUGCAGGGAAAAGUACUACAGUCCCUCUAGGUCAAAACCCAUCCACCUGGUAUAAAUCAAAUCUUUACAUCAAUAAUGUUUCUGUAGUUAAGAACUGAGUCUACUUUUUGUAUCCCCAACAACAGGGAUUAACUGUUUCAGGUUUACUUUGAAGAAUAGAUGUUGCUAUCUAUUAAAAUGGAACGAUGUUCAUGUUAUAAUGUCAAGCAAACAAUCUGAUUACCUGUGUGACCCCCAUUUGUUAUAUGUGUUUAUAUGCCUACCAAGAAACUGUGAAGGUAACAUUUUUCUCUAGGUGGCUAGGUUUAUUUUGUUUUUUGCUUGCCUGCAUUUUCUGUUGUCCUAUAUUAAACAUAUAUAACCUGGGUAUUCAAGGAAUAUUUAAAGUUCAAAAUAAAAAGUUCAGUUCUUGAGGAAAAAAAGUAUAUUAUUAAUAUCCUAGACCUAACAGGAGAGCACUUGAAGAUGUGUAUAAAUCUAAGGCAAUGAAGGAAUGCAGUUAGAAAAGAAAGGAACAGAUUUAGACUUAUCAGCUGUGUUUGGAAUUUUGAAUAACCUGCUAACCCAAGCAUGCUACUUGGUUCCUUUUUUUUGCUCAUUAAUCUCUUGAGUUCAAAAUGGGAAUGUGAAAAAUUCAUUCACUGCAGUAUGAUAGUGUGAUGCAUACAGUCAGCAAACUGUAUUAAUAUGGGGGUUUAAAAUUCUCAAAUAUCAUCCAACACCCUGCUGCUGCUGCUGCUGCUGCUGCUGUGUCUGACUCUGUGGACCCCAUAGACAGCAGCCCACCAGGCUCCCCUGUCCCUGGCAUCCUCCAGGCAAGAACACUGGAGUGGGUUGCCAUUUCUUUCUCCAAUGCAUGAAAGUGAAAAGUGAAACUGAAGUGGCUCAGUCAUGCCCAGCUCCCAGCGACCCCAUGUACUGCAGCCUACCAGGCUCCUGGGAUUUUCCAGGCAAGAGUACUGGAGUGGGGUGCCAUUUCCUUCUCCAGCACCCUAGUGUGGUACAAACACCACUUUCUGGUGAAGAAGGUAUUAACUGUAAUCAACAAGCAAUAGUUUGUGGGAAAAUGUAUUUAAACUUCAGUCAUGAAUGUUUUAAAAGUGUACCCCUUCUAAAAUCAUGAAACUGGUCUAAGUAACUUUAUGAUAAUAUAAUUCAAUGUGAUUUAACAAAUAAUGGUAUGUAUUUCAUUAAAUACCAAAUUAAAU
ensembl:lncRNA